rnacentral:lncRNA from 1 species
UGUUCCACUGCGCUACAUUGUGAAACCACGAAAGUGCGCUCAGCUAGGCUAAGACACAACAAGCUGUAGGGUUUCAGAGCUCAUUAUGGAUGAAGAAAACGGUUCACGUUGUAUUUUAAGGUGUGAAAUCUUCAGUCUCGUGACUGAAGCGCUGCUCGUGCUCCUCACUGAGAAGCAGCCGAUGAGUUUUGACAGACGGUGGGACCAGCAGGUCGGAGAAGAGACGGAUUAAACACAGAAUUACACUUCAGCGCUGAAGGAGGGACAACCAGUAGGAUGACAGGUGACAAAACUAAAUACCAAUAUAGAAACAGAGCAAUGCAAUACAGAUCUAGUUUAAACUAGUUUCAUACAGCAUGGUUAAACUUAAACUAUGUUUUUUUUUUUUUUUUUACAACAUGGUAACCUUGGUUAUUUUGAAGGUUAAUUUAGGUUUUGAGUGAGCAUUGUCUGGCUAUGGAUUAGCUUUUUUGGCCCUUAAAAGUCAGUAUAAUUUAUUUUGCUGUUACACUGUUGCCUUCACUUGGUAUAAGUCCUCUUUAAAUGUCAACCUGGAUCUAGAAAAGCAUGCAAAGACACGAAGCUUUUAAAAAUAUUAUGUUGUAUGUCUACAUUUGAAAAAGUCCUGUUUGUUUAAUAUUCUGUCUAAUUUCUCGGUGAGUUCACAUGGGCACCUGUUUUGUUCCUUCUUUGUCCAGCAGCACUAUUCAGGCCUUUCUCUCUGAGCUUCAGCUCCUCUUGGUGCCUGGUCAGCUUUGGAUACAAACUUGACAAAUGUAAUCACGAAAUAUCAUUGACAGUUUGUAGUUAUACUACAUUGCUGUAUUUGCAUAGUCAGUCAAACUUUUAUGCCACCUCUUUGCCAGUUUAUCCACAGUGUUUUAAGAGAGAUUUAGUCAAAUCAGAAUAUUUAGGUGGUCCUCUUUUCUCUUAUACUUAAGUAACAGAGAAUUUUGCGUGUGACUUGAAUUUAGUCCAGCAUGAACCACACUUUAUGUCCAGCCCCUUAGAUUUUUUUGAAGUUACAAGGCAGGUGUUGGCUAUAUUUCUCCAUAACUACUGCAUUGGUUUUAGGGGGAAUUAUUUAACUUUUUGGCAGGGUGCUUUCUGACUCCAUUUGGCACAGUAGGGAAUUCGACUUAAUGAUUUCUAUCUAGUAGACCCCAGCUGUGUGUGUCCAACAAGUGGAAACUUGAUCAAUGUAUGUAUUGUUUACCUCAGCUUUUAAAAAUCCUUCAACCAGAAAAAGGAAGCCUGGCUUUUACUCCAUCUUUUCUGCUCUGAGACUUAAGCUUUCUGCGGGGUUAACAGGUUUGUGUCUUUUUUCCCCUGUCAAACACAUGAUCUGCUCCACUGUUUUGCUCUUUUCUCCCGAUGGCUCUCAGGUUCCUGUGUUUCGUGGUCCUGAAGAGCAAUUGAGAGGCUAAAAGAGAGGAAUAAAGAAGCCUGGUGGUCCUCUUAACAAACGGGGAAUGACUCAGUCUGCAGAGAGAGGCCGGUUUGAAGUGAGUUUUUGUCUUUUUUUUAAGCUUAUGUGGUAUUGAUAUGGAAGUAUAGAUAGUGCAAAACAGAGCAGCUGUUCAAAUCAACUGUGUGUUAAAUCACCAAGUCCAAUCCCCUGCUUAAAACUAACACCCACAACAAACAGAAAAGCUCUCUCUCUUCCCUGAUGUAAACUGUAAAUCUGAUUAAUUACUGUGAAUAUAUAAUUCUCUGUCCAUCCCCGGCUCUCACUCUCAGUGUCGCACACACUGACACAUGCACACGCACAAACACCGAGUUUUUACAGUACGAGGUGAUUAUGUGGCAAUUACUGCAGUCACAGUGACAAAAUGAAAGCUGAUCCUUGGAGGGAAAAAAAAAAAGAGAAAAUGUCACUCCAACUUUUGAGUCCAUCCGCAGAUUUCUGAGCUCUGAAUCACAGCGUUCUCUUUUGAUCAUCACCGCUGCUGCCUUUCUCUGAUACACAGACGGAUUAUUCCUCCUAAAUCUCCCAAAUCCCUAAUCCUAUUUAUCUCAACGCCACACAAAAAAGGUGCUCUCUCUUUCCGCUGCUCAGCCUUCGUGUACAGUAUAGAUGUGGGUGUACUCGUACUUCUACAUUUGGGAGGACUAGUUCAGGACACAAGGAACAUUUCAGGCGGUGCUCACUUUCAAAGAACUGUGUUUUUGGGUUUAAAGCAGAGAAAUAAAACACGACGGAAAUACAGAAACCCAAAUGACUAAAUAAUCCACAAUAUAUCUCUAUGUGAGGCCAGUAGUUCUAAUUUUCAUUCAACAAAGCUUGCUACUUAACUUGGUACUCUUUCCAUAUGGUUCUUCAUAAGACUGGCUGAGUCUUUAUCAGUAGUGAUGUGAUGACCACACUGUUAGUGGUAGGUGUCAGGCCAGACACUUGAGAAAGAAAGUUGGUUUUUAUUUUUCCAAAACAAAUAAUUGCAGUGAGCGAUAUAUAUGACUGUUGAACAAGACAGGAUAAGAUUUAUUUUCAGAGACUAGUAAAGACAUACGAGGUACCAGUGUGUCGAAAGGGAGGAAUCAAAAUCAGCACAGAUAUAAGGUUUUUAUUAGAACUAAUUUAAUGCCCCCAUAAUUCUUUAGAGCAGUGGUUCUCAAGUCAGGUCCUCGAGGUCCACUGUCCUGCAUGUUUUGGAUGUUUCCUGCUCCAACACACCUGAUUCAAAUGAUCAGCUCGUUAUGAAGCCAUUACAGAGCUUGAUAACGAGCUGAUCAUUUGAAUCAGGUGUGUUGGAGCAGGGGAACAUCCAAAACAUGUAGGACAGUGGGCCUCAAGGACUGGACUUGAGAACCACUGCUUUAGAGAAUAUGACAAAGUUAAAAUUAUUAUGAAAUUUUUCUAGUUUCUUCCACACUUGAUGCAGCAGAGAAAGAUGUACACUGACGGCAUAUAGCAUAUUUAAAGGGAUAUUCCGGCGUAAAAUUAAUUUAGGGUCAAACACACCAUAACACACGACACCCCGUCGAGAGAUGAAUGUUGCUGAUCACUUGCUUCUUUAGUUAUACCAACUUUAGUAACGACCACAGGAUAGCAAUACACAGCGGUCUGAGGAGUCGUAAACAAACCUCAACCAAAACGUCACGCUAUAGCCACAAAUAAUGCUCAGAACAGCACCUAACUUCAUCAACAGUACAACAGUUUCUUUAGCAAAGAGACUAAACACAACUCACCUACUCUCUUCCAGCAGCUGCUUGUUUGUAGCAAGACCUCGGGCCAGUCCAUUACAGACUGCAGCGGGGGAACACAGCUUAAGGAAGAACAUUCAUGAUCAUUACUUUAUCAUUUCCUUGAAGUAAUAAUCACCAUAUUAAUCAAUUUGCACUGCAGACGCGGUAGUUCUUCUGCCUUAGCGUCUCGGUCUGAUUGCAUUUCCAUGAAAAAAUGAUCAGAAUAUCCCUUUAACCAAAGAAGAGAAGAAAAGUCUAAGUGAUGCAGUGAGAAAGACCACAGAUAAGAAUCCAGUAGCAUGUAAUUGAUUGUAGAGAGAUUUUGUGUGAUUAUGAGGUAGAGAUAAAUAACGUGUGGUCUCAAAUUGAGCUCCCCGAGUAGUCUUAUAAGUUAAAAGCAUGCAUCACUGCAAACCAACUGAAUGCUGUUGCACCCAGCAGAGAUGCUCAGCAGGAGCUGCAGCUGUCAGCCAGGUUAUUCCCAGAAAUCGUUCAUCGACAAUACUUAGAAUUUGCAUCGCUAACUAGAACUAAUGCUGUGUCAUUAAUUACAGGAUUUGUUACUGGCUUAAAUGCAGAAGUAGUUACCAGUAAAGUGAGCUUCAGUUCACACUCAGGUUUGAUUAGACUAACACACACAUGAGCUGGAGAACUGCAGCAGCAACAACACCAGGUCUUCAAACUAUUGUAUUCUGUUCAGUCUAAUAGCCUCCUGCCUUUUUCUUCUCUUUACUUACACUUAUUCUCCUUUAAUUCCCAUCUUUUUUUCCUCCUCUCAUUCUUCUUGACUGAAAAAUUACCCCCCUUUUCUUUUUCUUUUUCAUUUUCUCUUCUCUCGUCUUUUUCAGAGGUUUUCGAACCUCCUUUUCUUCUCUCUUUUCCUCUGCUCCCUGUCCCCUGAGCUUAUUUGCCUUUUUCCCCCUUUUUCUCAAUUUUUUUCAUCCCAACCUUUCCAGGUAGCCCACUGUGCAUUGUACUUGUGUUUUUAUGUGUGUGUAUGCGUGUAAGUGUGUGUGUGUGCUUGCACGCGCUAAUGAGCUUAGAGCUGUCUCCCUCCCAAGGUGAGGUGCCAUGCUGGGGUGAUCAGCACUGCUAGAGCUGCAGGUAUCAACCACAAACACCUGCUGCCUUGAGCACAAACACACACACACACAUGCACGCACGCACGCACGCACACACACACACACACACACACACACACACACACACACACACACACACACACACACACACACACACACACACACACACAAUUGGUAAAUAUUUUCCUUACUGCAACUUCCUCACACUGGUAAAUGUUAAAAUGCAGAAUAAAUCUUUGCUUCCCUCCUUUACAUAAAAAAAGUAAACUUACACACAAACACGCAUUAAAUACAGUAUGCUUCCUCUCCUUUAUAAACACACACACGCGCACACACAUACACACACACACACACACACACACAGUUGACUGCUGCACAAGGGCGAUAGCACAACUCUGUCCUGUCAACAUGCUGGAUAAUCAGCUGCUGGGGAUUGUGGGUAAGCUGUAAUAAUCCCUCGCAUGGAAUAUGGAAAGCAUCAGAGAGUUAUUCAAUAGGACAGAGAUAAAAGGGUGUGCAUGUUUGUGUGUGUGUGCGAGUGUGUGUGUGUGUGAGACAGAGAGAGCAUGUGAGGCUUUUCCAUCUUUAUUAUGCAUCUUCACCUGAAGCUGGCUGUCAGUUGGAGUUACUGAAAAAAUCCAUCAGUCACCACCUGCAGCUGAACAUCAGCCCAGCCUGCUCUCCUCCACAGAGACUGCAGCUGCUGGGACAUUCCCUGCCAUAGUCACUGAGACUUAAUUAGGAUCUACAUCCUCUACAAGCCUCAUUUAGUCGCUUAAACACAGGAGAAUAUGCAUUUUAUGCAACUGUCAAGAAGCAAAGUCUUUACAAACGACUUCCUUAACACCAUGUCACAGUGGAAACAGGAUGCAAUUGAGGACGUCCUUUGUAUCUGUAAUAAAGGCUUGUAAGCUGAGAGGAACCUCUCACUGGUCAAUGAUUCCAUAUUCAGCUUUGUCUCUCUUUUCAAGCAACUUACUGGUAAAAUUAUUACAUUGUUUGUUAGUGAAGGUUUGAAGUAAAGCCAUGCCGCGUUAUUUACAAGUCUUGAAAUCACCAUUUGCACAUCUGCAGCUCAGAUGAUGGGCCCCAUGAGAAGAUACCACAUUGGGCCAAAGACAUCUCUCCAACAUGGCUACACAUCUCCAUCAUACAAAUGACCCAUUGUAAGAUUUAAAUUCGAUCCUUAAAGAUCCUUAAAUUCUUGUCACAUAUUUUUAUUUAUUCAGACCAUAAAUUCAUCUUACUUUUUACCUGUCACUGUCUAAGGCUGUUUUAACAUGUGACACAAACAAACUCAACAGUGCACUUUGUUACUUAUCAACUGUAUUCUUUAUGUUAAUUUCAUUGAAUAUGGUUGUGGUUCACUGCGUAUGUUCUUAGUAAACUCUGAAAUACAUUUUUUUAUUUGGAUGUAUCAGAUCACAUGAAUUAAGAAAACAUAUAUUUUUGAAAGUAGUUUGAUUACUUCAGCGAAUCUGCCCCCUUAUGACUGCAGGGUUUUUUCUUUUUGCUUACUCUGAUGGAUGAACAGAUGGAUAUUAUGGACAGUUAAUUGGAUAUUAGGAUUGGAUGUUACCUAACUGUAAGUUACUUCUGUUAUGUGUGUUGGAAAAUAUGAAUCUACAACAAAGUUUUUAACUCUGGUAAGAUACUAGUGUUUGUGCCCACAGUGAGAGUUCUUUGUAAACUUAUUGCAGCUUUUUGUGGUGACUCAAAAUGUGAUACGUAGUAAAUGUAAACUUCUUGUAUGUAUUUGCUAUGUGAGAUAGAUAUGUAAAAAUUAAAUGUGCUUGUGCCACAUAUUCUUAACUUACAUACAUUUCAAUUUUAUGACCUCCUCCUCCAAAUCAAGCCCCCAUUACCUGUAUCUUAGUCUAGUACUCAUUAUUUAUAUUAUUCAUUUCUAACAGGGUGGCUCUUUCCCUCCAAACUUUUGUCUGUGUUAACUGGCUGUAUAGGAAGUGGUGGAAGUGUCCACCAUAUCUCUGAACUGACUGUUUUAUCGGGGCAUGGUGUAUAAACAGAAAAAAACAAAAAAAUCUUAAAAUUAAUCUUAUGAGCCAAAGACGGAGAAAGAUAAUCUCCCAAAUGCCAAAUAUCUGCUGGGGUAAUGGGCCAAGGCUGAUAAUGCAUCUGCCCUCAGUGUGUGUCAAUAGUUAAAAUCAAGGAACCAUUGUUUUUAUCAUUAUUAUAAUAUAUAAUAGAAGUUACAACUAAUAAUAAUAAUGCAUCAGAUUUCAUAUAGCGCUUUAUCAGAGACCCUCAAAGCGCUUUACAUUGGAUACAUCAUUCAUUCGCUCACACAGUCACACUUUGGUGGUGGUGGAAACGUGGCUGCCAUUCUGCGCCUACGGCCUCUCCGACCACCACCACACACACAACACUCGCAAUCAUACACCAGUGGAGGACACACACUGGGAGCAAGGUGGGUUAAGUGUCUUGCCCAAGGACACAACGGACAGACUUGGAUUAGGGGGGAAUCGAACUGCCAACCUUCCGGUUAUUGGACGACCGCUCUACCUCCUGAGCUACUGCCGCCCUACUACUGAAUAAAUAAUGUCAAUAGGCUUCCUUAUUCUUUUAAUAAUAAAAUAACUGUCACAUCUUUGUGAAAUGAUAUUUUCCAGUAUUUGGUAAUGGUUAAAAGAUAAAAAUAACUAUUCAUUCAAACUUUCACAACAAUAAAUUGCUGAGAGACUAUGUGUGUAUUUAUAAGGAACUAUGGUUAUAAUAUUAUCACUUUUUCUUUACUAAGUAUUAACAAAGAAAGUAUACUUUUACUGACUCUGGACAUUUACUAGUCAUGUAGUUUGUUAUGUUUGUUGUCUGCUCUUCUGACAUGAAGCAGCUUGUGAUUUCUGAGUCUAAACUGAGCUUGUUAACUGGUGAUGGCUUCAAACACUCUCUCAUCCUGCUGUGGUGGAUUGAUCAGAAAAUCAUUGUCAGACGCACACCUCCCUUUCAUUCUGAAGGUUGAAAACACAUCGUGUAUUGAUCACCUAAUUGUGACUAUAAAGUAGCUUGGACUGAUCUCAAUCAUUGAUUGCUUUAAUGAUCACACGGUCAUCCUCAGAGGGUUAAACACACAGAGAAAGCUGUCUUUCUUUUCCUUUACUCUCUGUCCCACUUUGAAGCCCUGGUUCUACAUUUAUACUCUACAAUUAGGUAGAAAAAAGAAGGAUAAUAAACUCUCUCAUUAAUCAUCGGGAUGCAAAGGAAAUUAAACCUCCUUUGUUACAGUCUGGGGUCAUGUUAAUCCCUUGUCUUUAUUCUUUUAGCCUUGGCUCUUAGACUACACACACACACACUCACAUUAGGAGGGCAGCGCACAAAGUUUUCCAUAAUUAUGCUAGAGGAAAUAGCUAACAGUGGAUACAGAUCCUAAACGGUGCAGUUCCUCCCCUGAGUCCGGAUUUUCAAGGGUUUUAAUCGGUUAAAUAUGUGCGUGGAUACGUGGCUAAUCUGCUGGUUAAUCUUACUAACACUUUUUAUGGGAUUGCUCGCUGCGGCGGGGAUUACCGCACCGCAGAUCACAACCUGAUUUCCAUAAUCCUCUUCUUCUGAUAAAACUCUGUUAGUUUCCCAUCCCGUCCUUUUGUCAGACUGUGAAACAUCAACCAUUUAUUUCAUUGAUUUUUGGCCGCUCUUACUCCAUUGCUUUAUUCUGGGCGCUGACUUGCUGUCUCACUCACUACCAGGAGAGAAACAAAACAAACACACUGCAUAUGAAAAAGUAAUGAGAACAUAUAUGUUUUCUUUCCUAGCUCCAUGAUCUGAUUCCUCCUUUUAUCUUUAAAGUACAGUACCAUCAGUAUAACUGUGCAGUUGUCUUUAUGUUUUUGUCUCUUCACUGGUUUCUUCAUUCAUCAAAGUAGGUCUUUAGUCCCUUUGGGGUUAAUAUAACAAGAGGUCUACCCUUUUUUGUACUAAAAACACAAUUCUUUACUUUUUCUACAACAAAAAAAUGUCCAGUCACAUAACCUUGAGUCCUCAGUUUUCAAGUCCCGGUCAAUUAAGAACCACUGGAUAGGAAUGGAAGUCAGAUUUUUGUCAUAGUUAAAGCUUGUCCUUAUCUUUUCUUCUGUUAAGGCAAUGUUAAACCUUCAACUAAGGAUCUGAAAUAUAGCCAAAGAAAAUGUAUGAAUGUGUUUAGGAGCUCUUUUAAAACUUUUGCAAAGGGAUUUGAGUGUUGCAAAGAACACACAGCUGUCAGCAAGGUCUGCAAAACUCGCAGAUUUACAGAAAACAAGCUGAUUGCUCCUAUCUGGGAAGAGUUGGUAUCGUGAAAGUGAAAGACACUCAGUUCUGGGAGCUUUGAGUGGAGUAGUCACCUGAGUAAACCAAAACCAGGAGAGAGGGAACAGGACACAGAUUGUAAACGAAGGUGAUCGAAUAACUGAAACUGAAAUAAGUGAUUGAUCAAACAAACUGUGAUCAAAUAAGUGACAGAUAAAAGGCAUAAAAGUUAAGUCUCAGUGAUAUGCCGUUACCCUCUUAUGGUUGUUUUAUCUGUCCAACCUGUUGCCCUGCUCUUCUCUUGCCUGCUAUUACUUCAUCAUCUUUGAAAGAAACACAAAGAUUUGUACAGUCUCUUUAUUCUUGUCGGAUCUGUAACUGAAUCAGACCUGACACUAAUUAAGCCAACCAUGUGCCAGCCCUUGACUAAACUGAAUAAAUAAUAAAAAACUAACAUAAUUACUAAAACAGUCUUUUUAAGCCAGUGUCCCCUUGAUUUUUCAAGUCCUAAUGCGGUUAGUGUUUCAGUCCAAGUACAAGUCUGAGUCAUCGCUGCUUGAGAACAAGUCGAGACACAAGUCCUGAAAACAAGGACUCAAGUCAGGCUAGAGUCCAAGACUUGGAGUAUUAAUAAAAUCAUGAAAAAAAAAAGAAAAUCAUGAUCAAACCUCUUCUUUAAAAUGAUCAUCGAUUACAUUUUUGACACAACAAUAACCCAAUAUCCUACAUGUCCAUUUCAAAUUUAAUGUCAUUGAUAAAGGGGUAUGGCACCAUCUUUUAUGUACCUCACUCUGAAGGUAGUUGGUUUGUCUUGACAUUUGAUAUGUUUAUAUUUUCUCUGGGAUUAUUAGUGUUGUAACAAAGUUUAUUGGCAACUCAUAAGAUUUGAAUCAACUUCUGUGAAAAAAAAAAUGCUGACUGGUCAGAUUUGGAUUUUGUGUCAUAGAAAUUCAAACAUGCGGUCAUGCAGGGAUGUGAUGACUGAAAUGCCAGUCGUAUUCUGUGUCUAAGCUGUAGUGCACCACCUGCCACCAGUUGCGGGUGUCGCUCUGGAUAAAGACCAUUGCUAGACUGCUAAAAGGCUCCUCUAACAAGAUGUAAAUAAGUGCAGAUAACAUCUUGUAGUGCAGAACAGUUCAGCUGUAUUCUGAUGCAGCAGAUUCCAGCUAACUCCACCGAGGUAAUUGGUAAACAGCACAGGACCUUGGGAGUGAAACUGUCUGUCCCGAACCCCCAGUACAGCUAACAAUCUCCUAACUGCCCGGCCAAAAGAGAGAGACAUGGGUCAGAAUCCUGAUAAAAUACAAACACUGGUCUUGCAUUCCUAAAGGAUGUUACACCAAGGUUUAAAAAGACUGAAUGAUUUGUGAGAUCUGCAGCCUGCGUUAAAUUGAAGGAGGUAAACAAGCUCGAAUCCUUCAAUUCUUAAUGACACAGUAAAAAAUACUUUGAAUUGAAAUCUGGCUUUUGAUUUAAUGAGUUUUACAACUAAAAUUAGGCCAAAGCUCUUCAAGUAACUUGAAGAAUUUAUCCAUUGUCCCUGUCAGCAGAAGUUCAUAUGACUUUAUAAAACAUUGAUAACAUCCAGUCAGACAGAAAGACACGCUUUAGUAAACAGAAAAGGUAGGCUGAAUUGUUUCUUCUUCCACUUACUGUGUUCUUUUUUAAGAAUGAUUAGUUUUAAGAUGUGGCUGUGUGAUACGGAUGCCAGAUCCAGGGUAACCUUUGUUUUUUUAAUCAAUACUGAUCAAAAUGAUUGUGAUUAUGAUUUUUAAUGUAAUCAAGCCACCCUGCUGUACUGGCUUUUUUAGGUUUAAGCUGAUCGAUUAAGCCAAAAUUUAGAGCCUGAUCUCAGAUUUUCUUUUUGCGUAUUUCUUGUAUAUUUUAGCCCUUUUUAUUAUUAUUAAACUUUAAAUAUGGGUUGUCUUGUUGAGACUCAGGGUCUCAUUUUCAAUAGAGACCUGUCUUUACAGGUUUUUGCUGUAAACUGGUAUAACAAUACAGUACAAUACAAGAUAAGCAUGUGAACUAAUAUUGACCCUUGUUUAGCUUUAAAACAACAUUUUGUAUGUAUGUAUGUCAGCGUGCACGUGUGUCUCUGCAUCGUAUUUGCCAGUGUGACUUUUUUUUUUCUUUUUAUCUCUUGCUGUCUCUCUCCACUAGCCUCCAUUUUCUGCUCCGAGGGUCCGGAGAAUCCCCUCAUGUGGAGAGAAGCUAUGAUAAAGUAAGCAGCAGAGAAGAGGGAGAGAGAGCGGGGGAGGAAAAGGGGGAGACCUAGGGGAGGGGGUAAGACAGAGUGAGACAGAGAAUUAGGCUGGGAGUUAAAUAUGAUCAGAGGAGGGGAGACACAAGAAAGGCGAUCAGAAAGGGGAAGAGAGAAAGAGCCGGGGGGAGGAGUGGAGUGGAGGGGAGGGGAGGGGGUGCGGACAUUCAGUGGCUAUGGCUGCACAAAUGGGGCUUUAACUGUAUUACACUCUGGCAGCUCCAUCUCCAUCACUUUGCGGGUGAGUGUGUUAGCCCAUGUGUUUACUUGAAGACCCUGUGUGUGUGUGUGUCAGUGUGUGUCAGUGUGUGUGUGUAGUUGUAUCACCCCCAUGGGGCCUUUACUCUGUCAGUGCACAGCAAUAAUCAGCCUCCAUCUCUCUGCUGAUCCAUCUCCACCUCUACGUCUCCCUGCCACUAUCACUCACCUCACUCUCCUCCCCUUCCCCCCUGCUCCCUCUUCUAUUUUUCUCUCUCCCCCUCCCACUUCACACACACAGUUGAGAUGUGUGUGUAUGUGUGUGUGAAUCGAUUCAGCCUCUGCCCUUUCUAAGCACUCUACAAGCACCAUCGGCCUCUCACUCUCCACUGAGCAGCAUCUGUUUCACACUCCAGUACGGCUGUACACAUCACUCCAUUUCUCUCUUUCCCUCUCUCUCUGUCUGUCUCUCUCUAUCUUUCUGGAUCAGACUGUCUUUCUGUUCAUUUCUCUCCUUUUUCUCUUUUGUCUUUCCCUUGCUCCUGUCGUCCCACUAACCCUCCCCCUCUCUUGUAAAUCUUUCAGCUCACCUUUACUCCCCAUCCCUCCCAUGCUCUGUAUUGAUUAAAGCUCAGUUGGGCUCGGUGAAAAAUCUUAACAGUUUACAGUCUGUCGAUAAUAGAGGUUUAACUGUAGGUUUUGAUGGCUUCCCAGUGGGAUCCUGGAUUUAAAAAGCCUAAUUGGUCAGCGGCUUACAGUCCAUGGGUUUUUGGCUAAUCUAGCUCACGUGGGCAGACGGGAAACUUAAGUGUUUUUGUUAAAUGCUGUGAUGGUAAACAUGGCAUAUUAUCUGCUGUCAUUUUGUAAAUUUUUUCUCCACCUUAGCCACAUGCUGUUAGUGCCUUAACAUCAAUAAAGAGAAAUUUGCCUAAGAGGCUAAAGAUGCUUAAACAAACUGUGUUUCUGUUUGGAAAUGAACGGUAUUAUCACCAGGUUGUCAUGUAUGAUUUAGCUGAGUAAUCAAAGCAUUGUUGUUUGCUUAUAGCUCUCAUACAAAUGAUGCUACAUAAAUAGCAGUAAAAUGGUGUUUCACUGGCCCUGAUGACGACAUUCACUACUAGAGGACACUGAUAGGUUGAUCACAUUAAACAAAAAUGGUUUGUCACUAUAGAUUUUAUUAAAUAUUGGCCCAAUCCUAGAGAGUGCUGAUAUGAGAUAGAUUAAUUAUACUGAUUAUUGGCACUUUAAAAUAAUCAGUACUGGCGCUCAUCAAGCCAACGCAACCAUCAUCUUUUCUAAAUGACAUGUUUUUCACACCCUGAAUGACAGCUUAUCAAAUCUAGUACAGAUAAUGUCUAACAUUAAAUAAAGAUUCUGAUACGGCGUAUAGAAAAUUGCAGUUUAAAUUGCUUCUGACAUAUCGACGUCUCACCCAGUCUAUUUCAAGAAAUCAAUCAAAGGUCCCUUUAAAACAUGAAACUGGCUGAGAUAACCACGUACUGAAGAUAGUAAUAUGCAUUGUAUAAUGAAAUGGCUUUCUUAUGUUGUUUUUUUCUCUUCUAAAAUAUUCACCAUAUGUGUUUUUUCUCUGUGUUAAUUAUAAAAGUCGGCUUGACAGAAACCCUAAGGUCCCCUGUGGUAAUAUUUUACAGAGCCAAAUAUUUUUCAUUUUGCAAUUAUGAGAGAAAAUGUUAAUUCAAGUAAAAGGUGGGGUAGGCAGGUUUCCGUUAAAGAAGAAUCCAUUUUUGUGGUGUAUAUACAAAAAAGCUUUAAAUAUCAGUCAAUAGUUAUUAGUCAUUGAUGACAUUUGGUAAUAUCACAAUAUCACUGUGUUCUCUUAUGUCUGUGUAGUCAACACUUUAAAUUUUUUGAGCGGCCCACUCUUUCUAACUGUAAACAAAGCCAUUCUCCACCUCCCCCAACCUGAUUGGUUGUGAGGCGAACGCCGCUUCAUCAUGUCGUGAGGCAUGCUCCACAUCCUUGAAUAACACGAACGAGCCCAAAAAAAGUUAGCGUGCUACAAUAUCGAACAGUAGAAAACAACCAGAAAGUAUGGAAAAUUGUCUGAAUCCUCCUUUGGCCACGACUGCCAAUACAAGCAAGAAAACAAAGUAAAUACCAGAGACUCUAGCGGAACAACGGGCACUUUAAAGAAGAUAGACUGGACAAGAGCUAAAAAGCCAGUCAACAUCAAUUUAGUGCUGCUAAACUGUCUACCUCGGGUCCUGGACUAUGUCACUUUAUGCUAGUUUUAGAAGUCCUGCAAACAUUGUGUUUGCUGGUAGUCUGUUGGCAUCUAGAGUAGCACCAACACUUUUUACUUUCACGUUGACUGGGCCCCAUUUGUAAUUAUCUGAAGUAUUUAUCUGCAUUAUAUCUGAAUUUAAUUGGACGACACGAGCGAGCAGGAGCGUCUGUUUUGUGGGCGGGGCUUGCUGGAGGGGUAGUGUUUACAUUCAAGAUUCCCCCCAAAAACUGGCACUUCCUCAGAUCCUGCCUUAUAUGACCAAAUACUAUCUGUAACCAAAGACACAAAUUCAGAUAGACAAAAAAUAUUAACAAAAAAUAUCUGUAUCUUUAGUUUUCUUCAUCCUAGUGACCCAAUGAAAAACAAUGAAAACAAGGACCUUUUCAUCACCUUAUAAAAAACAACCAGGAUGGCCAGGACAGGACGUGAAAACAGGACAUGUCCUGGGAAAACAGGACUUUUGUUCGCCCUGGUAUACAAGGAAGCCAAGAACUCUUGUAAUUACAGCGAUCUUUGCUGUACUGUUAACAACACUGUUCAGGGCCUCUGUGUCGGGGUCAGACAGAGUUAUGUUAGGAUGUGUUUAAUACAACAACACUCUAAGCAUCAACCUCUUGGAGGAUCCAAAUUUAUACCAACAACCCAGUUAUUUGCAGAGCAACUGUAAGAACAACAGACACUUGUUAAAUUAAAAUGUCCUUGUUUGAAGUAACUUACGAUAUGUUUUGUCAGUUGAGCAGGCCCCUGUUUGACCACAGCAAGAACUAAUGAAUGUAGGUAGCUGAGACUGCGCUGUUUGUUUAUUGAUCUCGUAAAAUUGGAGAUAACUGAACAAAAAAGGAGUCUGCUUUGUUGUCAUGCUGCUGUCAGGUAGCACCGGCUCUGAAUAAAGGCAGUUAGUGUGCAUCUCUAAUUUCCCAGAGAGAGACCGCAAGACGGGCUGUGACUCACAGCUCAGAGAGGAGAUAAUUACUGUUUCCUCCUCACCUCUCUUCCUCACUGCUCUCCUCCCCCUUCACUUUCUCUUGUAUUUUUUUCCUUUUUUUUUUGCCUCUGCUCUUCCUCUCCAGCUGAGUGAUUACCCCUCAUUAAAAAUCAGAAUAAAACAUUGUUAGCGCAGAUCGUUAGGGUGCUCUCUCCCGCCUUCCUCUCACCCACUACUUGGUCGUUAGCACUCAGCGCCGGCACUAAACGAGCGGCCUUUGAGGAAUGUUAUUCUAAUUCCAAUUAGCUCUUCAGGCUUGGAGGGAAGCCAAGUGGAGGAGAAAAAAAACUAAAGCUACGGGCACGCACGCACCAAUGAGAAGCAAAUAAAGGCAUACACACACACACACGCAUACAGAAACACACUGGAGUGAUGUACACGCUCAUUUUCAAGAGACCAAACACACACUCAAGUGACACACACUGAAUACUCUGAGAAUAGCAGCGGCUAAUGGCUUUGGCAGCACUCUCACAGGGACCUGAAGAGCAAUUAGGCUCCAAACUACACAUUGUAAAUCCCCUCUUAUUUCUGUGUGUGUGUGAUUGUGUAUGUGUGUGCGUGUGUUUGUGUGUUAAGCGCUGUUUAUCUGCCACCAAUUACCUCGCCCUGCCACAAGAGACGAACACUGGAUAAAUGGAAUCCAUAAACACACACACUCAUACACACACACUCUCGUUUAAUGUGUGCACCACAGGUAAAUGUGCACAGUCAUACACCAUACACACACGCACACACUGUCACAGACACACACUCACAGAGUUGCUGCCUUAUCAGUUUAUGUUGGUGCGACUGGAGGAUUUAGUCACAUGACCUGCAAGACAGGAGCAGCCGGGCGCCAAAACUAAUUUCCACCUUCAAAGACUCCCUUAUCUCCUCAGACGCCACAUGUGUGUGUAUAAGUGUGUGUCUGCAUAUGUGUGUUUGUCUGCUUGUGUGCUAGUGUGUGUGUGGUUGAUGAUCUGAUGUCCUUUAACAGAGAGACUUGCGGCAAAUCAUGCAUCACUGUCUCAUCUGCAUCAACCAAGCACGCACAUACACACACAUACGAAUGGAGAGGGACGGACUGACAGAUGGACGGGAAUGGAGAAAAGACACACAAACACAGACACACACACACACACACACUGAGUAGUGCAGUGCAAGGGUAGGAAGAGGCAGUAAGGUGAUAACAGAUAGGGCAAGUGAGGGAUGUGAAGCGUGGCAGGAGAUGGAGGGAGAGAUGGAUUUAAAGAGGGGAGGUAGACACAAAGAAGAGCUGCAUCUGAUUCUCUGUCAUUUUUCUCUCAAACAACAGAUAAAAAAACCUACAGCUGCGAAAAAAGCCAAAGUUCAGGAGGAUGAAAAGACAACAAUCUGUAUUCCAACAGCUUGCGUUUCACGGGGGGAUUCAGAGGAAAGCAGUUCUUAUCUGACCUGUGAAGGAACAUAUCAAAGGUUUGGAGCAGGAGCAGAAAACAAGCAGGUGAAAAAAAAAAAACAGCACACCUUGAGGGACAAGCUUUUCCAGCCACAGCAGCAGCAGCAGCAAAAGUAGUAGUAGUGCUGCUCCUGCUGGUGUUGGUGCUGGUCUUGUAUAUUUCAUGCUGCUCUUUUGAAGUUGUCUCUACAUUUUUCCACCAGCUCUUCAAAGGUCGAAAGCUGCAGCAGCGUUUCAUCAUCGAGUACACCAUGACUCUCUCCAUCUCCUCACCACUCUCCCUGAUGCUUCACUCAUGUUGUAUUCUCUUUGUUUAAAUCUUUCCUUUUCUCCUUGGCUCAUUCUGCAUGAUUUCUCUCAAAUCGAAUAAAAAAAAAAAAUCAGAAGGAAAUCAGACUGUGUUUGAUGCUUGGUGACCGAUCUGUGAUGCUCAGAGGAGGCGCAAAGGGGAACGGGUAGAGCGUG